GCAUUGGUGGUUCAGUGGUAGAAUUCUCGCCUUCCAUGCAGGAGACUCAGGUUCAAUUCCCAGCCAGUGUA
rnacentral:tRNA from 1 species